rnacentral:ncRNA from 1 species
CAACCUAUGCAGUGAUGUAUAGCUGAGCUCUGAGAAGUCAGCAGAGGUCAUAGUGCGUGCGUGGCAGCACGGUC